rnacentral:rRNA from 1 species
UACGUAGGGUGCGAGCGUUGUCCGGAAUUAUUGGGCGUAAAGAGCUCGUAGGCGGUCUGUCGCGUCGGUCGUGAAAACUUGGGGCUUAACCCUGAGCUUGCGGUCGAUACGGGCAUGACUGGAGUUCGGCAGGGGAGACUGGAAUUCCUGGUGUAGCGGUGAAAUGCGCAGAUAUCAGGAGGAACACCGGUGGCGAAGGCGGGGUCUCUGGGCCGAUACUGACGCUGAGGAGCGAAAGCGUGGGGAGCGAACAGG